GUUUUUAUUUUGCCUUAACAGAUCCCAAGACCUAAACAAUCUCACCAAAGUGAAUCAUAUGUCUAAAAUAGCUUAGGAAGGACGGAUAUCAGGAUGUGGAGGAUCUCAUUGAAGUGAAUCGUAUAUCAAACCAGGAAGGCAGAUCCUCUGACCUGGACAGUUUCAUUGAAAUCAAAGAUAAAAGCAAUCAAAGGGCUAUUAUUGGCAAAGAAUUGUGUACCUAUUGCCAGAAGCCAUUGGGCACAGAAACCAAAAUGAUUCUCGAAGCUCUAAAUAUUUGCUGUCAUGCAACUUGCUUCAAGUGUGAAAUCUGCAAAGCAACUUUAGAAAACCUGGAGGCAGGAGAUAGUAUCUGGAUUUACAAGAACGUAGUGCACUGUUCACCAUGUUAUUCUCAUGUUAAAGCCACGUGGACUUACUAAUCGUUAAUGAAUUCUGAUCAAACGUGUGCUCAGAUAUUCCAGCUAUCUUUAUUUGUAUCUGGAAGUUGUAUUUUUUUAAGAAUAAGAUAUUUCAAAAAUCCACAUUCGGCACUUGAGCAUAAAAUAAGACCAUUUCUAAAUGAAAGAUAACGUAUGUACUUAGAAUCUUUCUAGAGGUUUUCAUUGUUGGUGAGAAAAAAUGUUUACAACUGUCGCAUUAUAUUGAAUAAAGGACGCAAAGAGUUGUACUGUAAAUACAGCAUAGGAAGGUAGCUAUCUUUGCUUAACAUAUUCUGUUUUUUGUUCAUACAUUGGUAAUUCACAUAUGGGUGUUCAUCAUAUAGAUAGAAAUGUCUUCUUUAGCUGCAGCAGUUCUUAAGAGAGAGAAAUUUUGCAACUUUGGUUGGGACUGUUGAGUUUGAGAGGAACCAAAUCACCAUGAAAGCUGCCAGAAAACAAGCAAGAUGAAAUCAAGUGGAGUCCAUGUGUUUAUGAACCAUUGUUUUCCUAUUAUUAAUGAACCCUAAAUGUUGAGUCUGCUUCACUUCACUUCCAUUCAUACUGUAACUCUGGGGAAGAGAACACUGGGGGUUAAUCUAUUCUCCAAAGCACCUGAAAGCAGGACAAGAAGCAAUGGAUGGAAACUAAUCAAGGAGAGAAUCAACCUAGAACUAAGGAGACAUUUCCUGACAGAACAAUUAAUCAGUGGGACAAGUUGCCUACAGAGGUUGUGGGUACUCCAACCAACACUAGAGAUUUUUAAGAACAGAUUGGUCAGCCAUUUUGUCUGAAAUGGUAUAAGGUUUCCUGCUUGAACGGGGGGGGGGGGGGAGUUGGACUAGAAGAUCUCAAAGGUCCCUUCCAACUCUGUUAUUCUGUUACUGCUUGCAAGAAAAUCCAUCUUCAGUCUGCUCAUUUUUACACAUUUUAUUCAAUUUCCUUUAUAGAAAUUGUCCCUGUCUAAAAUUAAGUCAAUGUAGCAAUGUCACCUACAAAGAAAUAUCAAAAGGCCAAAAUUGUAAGUGCAACUGUGGAUCCAGGUUCUGCCUUUUUAUAUAUUUGCUAUUGGUUCAUGUACAAAGGUGUAGGGUUUUGGUCUAAACCACCUAUUUUUUAGUCGCUUUAGUCACACUAUUGAAGAUGGUGCUGUGAAUAUGGUCUUCUACUCUCAUUUUAGUUAUAUUAUGCUAAUUUGUAAAGGGCAAGUCAGGUUGUUGGCAUCCUGAUGCAAUCAUUUAAAGACACAGAUAUGGGAAAAGAAGUGCAUCCUCAUAUGAUCUGCAGCCAAACAUCAACUCUUAUGAUUUAAAAGUACUUGCCCUGUGGUAUCAAUAAUAAAUAUUCAAAUAAUCCAAAAUAAAUCUGAACUAUUAAUUGAUAUAAUUUAAGGCAUUUAUUGUAGCACAUAUUACAGAAUCAUAUUAUACACUGUGCAUAUUUUAAUAUAAAUAUGGAUACAUGUUUUUCUUUUCUCUUUUGAACCAGCGUGAGCAGUAGUGUAAAGAAUUUACCUUGAUAUGGAGAAAUAUUUUCAAAAAUUAAAGUGAAAGAAAAAAAUAAAAUA